UGGAGAGUUUGAUCCUGGCUCAGAUUGAACGCUGGCGGCAGGCUUAACACAUGCAAGUCGAACGGUAGCAGGAAGAAAGCUUGCUUUCUUUGCUGACGAGUGGCGGACGGGUGAGUAAUGCUUGGGAAUCUGGCUUAUGGAGGGGGAUAACUGUGGGAAACUGCAGCUAAUACCGCGUAUUCUCUGAGGAGGAAAGGGUGGGACCUUAGGGCCACCUGCCAUAAGAUGAGCCCAAGUGGGAUUAGGUAGUUGGUGGGGUAAAGGCCUACCAAGCCUGCGAUCUCUAGCUGGUCUGAGAGGAUGACCAGCCACACUGGAACUGAGACACGGUCCAGACUCCUACGGGAGGCAGCAGUGGGGAAUAUUGCGCAAUGGGGGGAACCCUGACGCAGCCAUGCCGCGUGAAUGAAGAAGGCCUUCGGGUUGUAAAGUUCUUUCGGUAAUGAGGAAGGGAUGUUGUUAAAUAGAUAGCAUCAUUGACGUUAAUUACAGAAGAAGCACCGGCUAACUCCGUGCCAGCAGCCGCGGUA
rnacentral:rRNA from 1 species